CACGUAGGGGGCAAGCGUUGUCCGGAUUUAUUGGGCGUAAAGAGCUCGUAGGCGGCUUAGUAAGUCGGGUGUGAAACCUCCAGGCUCAACCUGGAGACGCCACCCGAUACUGCUGUGGCUAGAGUCCGGUAGGGGGAGCGUGGAAUUCCUGGUGUAGCGGUGAAAUGCGCAGAUAUCAGGAGGAACACCAGCGGCGAAGGCGGCGCUCUGGGGCCGGUACUGACGCUGAGGGAGCGAAAAGCGUGGGGGAGCAAACAGG
rnacentral:rRNA from 1 species